CCUUGUACACACCGCCCGUCACACCAUGGGAGUUGGUUCGACCUUAAGCCGGUGCGCCAACCUAGCAAUAGGGGUAGCCGACCACGGUCGGGUCAGCGACUGGGGUG
rnacentral:rRNA from 1 species